rnacentral:rRNA from 1 species
UGCCAGCAGCCGCGGUAAUACGUAGGUGGCGAGCGUUGUUCGGAUUUAUUGGGCGUAAAGGGUCCGUAGGCGGUCUAUCAAGUCUGAUGUGAAAUCCCGGGGCUCAACCCCGGAACUGCAUUGGAAACUAGUAGACUAGAGUAUCGGAGAGGUAAGCGGAAUACCUGGUGUAGCGGUGGAAUGCGUAGAUAUCAGGUAGAACACCAACAGCGAAGGCAGCUUACUGGACGAUUACUGACGCUCAGGGACGAAAGCGUGGGGAGCAAACAGGAUUAGAUA